rnacentral:lncRNA from 10 species
UCCCGGAUUCAGGCAAUUCUUGUGUCUCAGCCUCCUAAGAAGCUGAGAUUACAGCAACUCCAAAAUGGAAGUACUAUUGUUAUCUCCGUUUACAAAUUAGGAAACUGAGGCACAGAUAUGCUCUUGGGUACUUGUCAGCAGCAGUUGUUCUACAAAUGAGCGUCUUAGCCUCUGGAUUACUGCUCAAUGAGGAAAGCUAUGAAAUGCAUGGAUAACUUGCUAAUCAGUAUUUGCCAUAUGUGCUAGCAGCAUCAGCAUCAGUUGGGAGAUUAUGGUGGCCUCCAUGUCAGACCUCCUAAAUCGGAAUAUCAGAGAAGGUGGCCCAGGUUACCAUGCUUCAUCUGCCAAUGCAUUGAAAACUUGGAAUGUAAAUUAAUUCAACCAUUGUGGAAGAUGGUGUAGUGAUUCCUCAAAGACCUAGAAGCAGAAAUAUCAUUUGAUCCAGAAAUCCCAUUACUGUGUAUACACCCAAAGGAAUAUAAACCAUUCUAUUACAAAGAUA